GACGAACGCUGGCGGCGUGCCUAAUACAUGCAAGUCGAACGCAGUGGGGACGGGUGAGUAACACGUGGGUAACCUCCCAUCAGAGGGGAUAACACUUGGAAACAGGUGCUAAACCGAUAUUGAUGUAUGGACCCGCGGUGCAUUAGCUAGUUGGUGAGGUAACGGCUCACCAAGGCCACGAUGCAUAGCCGAGCUGAGAGGGUGAUCGGCCACACUGUGACUGCGACACGGCCCAGACUCGUACGGGAGGCAGAAGUAGGGAAUAUUCGGCAAUGGACGAAAGGCUGACCGAGCAACGCCGCGUGAGUGAAGAAGGUUUUCGGAUCGUAAAACGCUGUUGUUAGAGAAGCGGUAAAUAAAGAGAAAGCAAAGGCUAACUACGUGCCAGCAGCCGCGGUAAGAG
rnacentral:rRNA from 1 species